rnacentral:rRNA from 1 species
GACGAACGCUGGCGGCGUGCUUAACACAUGCACGUCGAACGGAAAGGCCCAGCUUGCUGGGUGCUCGAGUGGCGAACGGGUGAGUAGCACGUGGGUGAUCUGCCCCUAACUUCGGGAUAAGCUUGGGAAACUGGGUCUAAUACCGGAUAGGACAAUCAUUUAGUGUCGGUUGUGGAAAGUUUUUUCGGUUAGGGAUGAGCCCGCGGCCUAUCAGCUUGUUGGUGGGGUAAUGGCCUACCAAGGCGUCGACGGGUAGCCGGCCUGAGAGGGUGGACGGCCACAUUGGGACUGAGAUACGGCCCAGACUCCUACGGGAGGCAGCAGUGAGGGAUAUUGCACAAUGGGCGCAAGCCUGUUGCAGCGACGCCGCGUGGGGGAUGACGGCCUUCGGGUUGUAAACCUCUUUCGACAGGGACGAAGCUUUGGUGACGGUACCUGUAUAAGAAGCACCGGCUAACUACGUGCCAGCAGCCGCAGUAACAC